rnacentral:lncRNA from 1 species
CUCUAAUCCAUACCAUUUUGGAUGUACCAAAAUAUUGUACCUAUAUAGAAUCUAUUUUACCUAAAAUAUCCAAUUUUUAGAUUCCCUUAAACCUAUAACAAUGAGAAAACCAGAUUGAUUCAUAUAAUCCAAAACCAUGCUUAAGAAGGGAAGCCUAACAAUAUACACAAAAAACCAAAGUGCAGACUCAUGAAGAAUGGCUACAUUAGGUAAAAUGACCACAGCCUUAUCUGAGGCAUAUUUUUUUUGGAGCUCUUUAAAUCUUACCUUGUUCAGCAGAUAACAAUAGAGAAGAAUAGCUUCUCUAGCAACGAAAGCCACAAUCUUAGGGGGUUUCUCUAUGUCUGAGAGUGGAGAGAGCUCUUUGAGGGCUAACCUGAACGUCAGCUACGACACUGACUCCAGGUUUACCCAAGCAUCGGCUAAACCUCCACCCCUGCUUUCUUGCAAAACUCUAACAGUUGAAAAUUUAAGCAGAUGCACUGCCAAAUGGCAGUGCUAGGAUUAAGUUCCAGGUUAGCAGCCUAAGAAACAAGAGACAUCAUGCCUUCUGCCCUCAUUUAAUUAUGGGUAAUGUCCAGAAAAGGUCUGUUCUGAUGAGUCAAAAGUUUAAAGGCAGGCUAGGGUGCCAGUAAAUCAUUGGGGUAAAUGCAGAUUUAAACAGUAUUUUGCCAGAAUUCUAUUAACUUCUACCCUCCAUAAAACAGUGAUAACUAGUUACUUAUAACCACAACCCAGAGGCAGUUUAGGGGGUUUGCAGUGCUGCCACAUAACCAGUCACUCUAAAAUUUAGCAGUUUCAAACAUGUGAUGACUCACACAGUUCUUGUGGGUUAUGAAUUCAGAAGCAGUUUAGUUAGAUGAUUCAAGACGAUACAGUCAGUGUGUUACCAAGGCCUGCAGUCAACUGAAGACUUUACCAGGGCCAAAGGACCCUCCUUCAAGGUGGCGCCUGCAUCUGGCUGAUAAACUGGCCAUAAGCAGUCCUCACUUCCUUCCCACGUCAACCUCUAGGGACUGCUUGAGUGUCCCCACACCAUGGCAGCUGGCUUCUCCCAGAAACCGGGCUUUUAAAAUAUGGGAGGGGAAUUCAUAGGAGAAUGACUAGCAACAGGCAAUGUUCCCUGGGGACCAUCUUGGAGGCUGGCUUUUACGAUCUUGAAAUAAGCUUCCAAGUGAAAGAAAGACAAUGCUCAAUACAGUUUUAGAACUGCUCAUUACAGCUCUGUUUCUUGAAAAGUAUUCUUAAAUAUGACAACAUGGCAUCAAUCAGGCUACUGGAUGACAUCUUCGAGGGAGCCAUUAAAUGUCUGUUGGAUCAAACUAGGCCCAGAGUUUUUAACCCUGGCAUUGCAUUUAUUCAAUUCCAAUACAUUUCUUACGUAUCAUUUUGUGUCUGUUAUUUUAUUGACUUGCCAUUAAAUGUUCAAUGUUAUCACUUAAUACCUAUCAGUUCAGUAUCAAUAUUAUUGACAGCAGGAUCAAUAUUAUUUAAGAAGCAGGUGGUCUAGAUCCUCAAAACCACACUGCAUCAGAAUUUCCGUGGUCAGAGAAUCACGGAAUCAGGGAGGAUCUUAGGAGGUUACCUCAUUUGCUGCCGUUGGAGGACAGGCCCUUGGGAUUCCAUUAUACCAUCCUUUCUACUUCUGCUUUUACUAUUUUUCACUAUGAAAAGUUUUGAAUAAAGAGGUAUAUAUACUAAUGCAAUACAUUCAUUUUGCAGAUGAAGACAUCUCCUUAAAAUGCAAAGAAGUUUACACCUACGCAAUGCAUCUCUUCAUCCUGGAGCACCCUAAGCAAGAAGCAAGGAUGAAACAUCCCAUCUUUAAACAAACAACUUUUGUCAUCAAUGAGCCUCCAAGUGUCUCCACAAAAAAAAUUCCUCAGCACCCUUCUUUAGUAAAAGUUUGUAGCUUUAGGAUUACGUUAGGGUUAUAAUAGCAGGCUUAACAAUAGGUGAUAAUAGGUUCUGGCUUGUGAGUCAACAGCACUAUAGUACUAAAACUAGAAGUUUUACGUUUGUCAGUUUUUUAGGCCGACAUAUUAUAUUGCUUCUACAGCUAAUCCUGAUGUUGUGUUUCAAUUUUUGAAUUAAAAAAAUCCAUGGAUAAUUCAGUUGCCACUGAAUAUAAAAUAAGCUUUUCUAGAAAUGAGAACAAUGGAUCCCCUCUAAAUAAAUGUAUUCUUAUCUCCCAGGCACGCGGGCAUUAUUCUCAGCUUGAGACUAUAGAGAAAAGCUAAGGCGGGAGGUUGGGGGUUGGGGGUGGAGAGGAGGGGAUGGCACAAGUUCCAUGUGGACGAGUAUUAUGACACACGUUCAGGUCAGACUUAGAAGGAAAACUCUAAACAGAAAAAUAACUGGAUUCUGAUACUGCUGCCAUUGUUGAGACGUAAAGCAACAGCAGUGAAUGCGAAAUGAAGAUUUGCUACGUGUCAGAAGCAGUCCUAAAUACAUUAACAGCCUUCCAGUUUUAAUCUUUACCAAGAUCCCCUCAACACUGGUUUCACAGAUGAGAAAACUAAGACUUGGAUUAAGAAAACUACCAAAAAUAACCUACAGAGCAAGUGCCAGAGCUGGGAUUCAAACUCAAGCAUCUACUCCAGAAGCUACCUCUUUAAGUAUUUUACAAUACUGCCUUAACAUGGAUCAAUACAAUCAGGCAGCCAAGGUGUUUGAUCCUGUCUUCAUGAGGUAACAAAAGACAGUAACAUAAAUAUUUCUUGCGACUGGAAAAAACAAAAAACAAAACUCCUAGCAGGAUGGACCUCAUGCUCAUGUUUGGAACUGCAACAUGAGCAUAUGAAAAGGUACCAUUUCUUCCUCAGUGCUAUGCCUACAAAGCUAUCAAAAGCCACUAAGUUAUGCCCGAGGCUUCAGUGACGUUCCCCAGAGAAGAGACUGAACAGCAGAUCUAAGUUGUACAUAGAAAUGGACUGCAUCUAAAAAUCUACGAAGCAAGAGCAAAGAAACGAACUUUUCUUUCAAAUCCUGACUGUACCUCAACUGUUGCAAAUCACUUCUUGUCAAAACUGCUGACUUUCCAGUCCAUUCUCUGGAGAACUUCGGCCGACGUCACCGGUAUUGCUUCCAGCCCUGAAAUCUCCAGGUGCCACGAUCUCAAGUACUCUCCCAAACGCACAUGACCAGCAGUUGUCCUAAUCGCUAUGGCUCUUGUGAAAAUGUGGCCCAGACUGAAAAUAAAAGUAUCAUUGUCCAAACAUUGUAAAUCUAAUGACACGAACAAGCAGCUUUUAAAUCCUGACAGGCACGGGGCUUAUUGUAAAAUCAACUUUGCAAUGUUUAGAGAAAACAAGGGAAGAGUAAAUAGAUCCAAUUCCAAAGACCUGGAGCUUUAAGGGGAAAAAAACAAACCCAAGGCCUCUGAGUUAUGUAACCAACUUGAAUGAUGCACUGAAUUCAGAAUCUGUGCUACUGCAGGGCUUGUCCUGAGACUUCAUCUGGGACAGAGAAGGAUGAUGACCUAUGGAAACAUCACCACCAGAGGCUCAUAUCAGAUAUUACUGCUGACAGACUCGGGAGGGAAAAAUGAAGUCUGGGCAGCAAGAGCGCUCCGGGGAUUCUUCCUACCCUGAGGUCCACUUAACCUUACAGAAAAUUACUUUUCCUUACAAAACGGGGGAGGGGAAGGAGUCAAUCCUAAGUGGUUUGUUAAACAAAUGUACUCCUUACUUACGUUCAUGUAAGCACAAGGGUAUUACCUGCUGGGGUCAUUCAGUUCUGCCUAUUACGUUAGGCGGUUAGUCCCUGCACACCCACUACCCAUACCCACAGAACAGACAGCACCUUGUUUGCCCUUUCCGGCAGGUAAGGAAAUACUUAGUGUCAUUACCCAUGUGUCAAAGGUACAGGAAAGAUUUCCUUCCUCUCAUCAGAAGUCUUGUCUGUUGCCUCCGAAUGUGUGGUGUGUGUGUGUGUUAGUAUCCACCACUGCUGCAUACGUACAGUACAUGCACCUGAUUCUGUGUACACGUGAUUUGUGUGAACACAUGAUUAUGUCACGUUCACAUAUAUGUGACAAUUCAAAAACAGGAAAAAGACUACGCUGCCCAUUUUUCUUCUAGAGAAAACAAAGCUAAAGGAGCUCUAUGAACAAGGAGGCCACCCCAAGAAUAACUUUGCAUUGCAGUAAGAAGGAAGAAUUUAACCUUGGCCUCUUGGCUCCUAUUUCCAAACACACCUCCCUGGCUCCCAACGUUUCUAAAGUUGACACAGCCUCUCGUGUUUGAUUUGGUGAUAUUCUGAUCCUAAGUGUCCCGGCUGCACACAAAGUCAGAUACACAAACACAGGUCUUCAAAAAUUCUUUUCAGUUUAAAAGAAAAAGGCACUGACAUGUUUUCUGAGAAUUUCACACACUCCUCAGGUGAAUGAGGGCUAAGGGGAAUUGCAAAGCUGGGAGUCGUCCUGAUUCAAGUCCAAAAGUUACUGCCAGUCCACGUAAAGGAGGCAGCACGUUUUUCCUAUCAAGUCUCUGAAGGAUCACGAAGUGUCCAUCUGUGUCCAGACUUCAGCCUGCCACGUCGGGUCACCAUGGGUGACAAGGGCGAGUCACUGGGAGCCCUCCAGACACCUUGAGAGAUGUCUUAUACCAAUGCCAGAAUCAAGAAAGCAUAUUCUUGGCAAUUAGCAGUGCUCAGCAAAACAGCUGUUGAAAUACCACAUCAAAAGCAUCUGUUAAUCCCUCUGCAUGAAAAAGGGGGAGCCGAGGCAAGUAAACUUGAGGGCGUUUUCCUCUUUACAUAAAUAGACAGUUCACAUUGCCAACCUUUCAUUAAAGGAUCCACAUACAGACGCAAUCACAAGGGGAGAAAACAGUUCCAGGAUCAAUGUAUACGAAUAAGAAAGUAAUUUAUGUCUUGUCACUAAUCUACCUUUUAACCUCAAAUCACACAGGCCUUCAUCAGGCCCUGCUUUAUGGUGAACCUUUUACACACACACAAAGGAGUAGUCACACCAAAACAUGAAAUGUGCAGGAAGGCAUGACAUCUCUUAAACCAACAACAAGAAAAACAAACACUUUACUGCAUCUACAAUUAACUGUGCAUUCAAGUUCCAUGCAGCCUGCCAGGACUAUCCUAUAAAUGUAUCUCAAGCAACCUACCCAGCCACCCAACCAAAGAACACCAAAAACCCAAAGUCAGAUGCAACCAAUAAUGUAAGACCACCACCGCUAUCACUAGGUGACAAAAACAUGAGAGGAAAAGCAUGCUUUUGGGGUUUCACUGGCACGCGGAUUUAAGUCUUUUGUAAAUAAUCAUUUGAACUGGAUAAACAUGACCUCAGGUACGAAAAGCAUUAGGUGCAGAAUUAAGAAGAGGAAAACACAGUUAAAACCCACAGCUUCUCAACUGACUAAAAACAAAGACGGGGGGUCGGCAUGGCAAUAUCUAUCUUUUAUUGGUUUGGAUAUAGUUUCCAUCAUCUUAGCAGUUUCUCUUCUUCCUGAUCCAUUCUCUGCUCCCAGAUCCUUUAUUCUAUAUUAACAGUUGAAUUUAAAAACAAAUGUGCAGACAAAGGAAAGAAGGCAAGGGGAGCUCUCUAAAACUAAGACCUCUUUCUAGAGGAACUGUGUACGCCGCUGAAACAAAGUGAAGGAAAAAUCAUUGAUUAGUAUUGUUUUCAACCAUGAAAUAGUCUGACCUCAGGAAAACUUUAGAGCAACUAGAUCUGUUGAGAAAGAAAAGAAAUCUAUAUAAAUCCUAUUUCUGGUUAAACAAGUCCUUUUUUCCCUUUGUUUUCACAUGUCACAGACAUCUUAAGUUUCAAAGAAAAAGAAAACCAUCGUGAAAAAGCGCCUCCACAUAAACAAGGCUGAAUGGGUUCUAUAAUAUAGGCUCCGUUUUUCCCUAAGUUUUCACUUACUCCUAUCCACUAUGGUUACACACAUGCUAAGAACCAAAAGCCGUCUGGAUUUAUUUUAUUUUCAUGUCUUCAGUAUUCAAGUCAGAAUCUAGUUAUGCUUUUGACACUAGAGUUUCAAAAGAUGCCUCUUCUAUUCUUUGGCAGGUCUGAAUACCCUGGCCCCCCACUUGGUUUUCUUAGCCAGCCCUGACUUAGGGAAGCAAGCCUCUAAACCUUAGUUAUGAAAUACUCACUCCAGUGACCAAGGAUAAAACUGAAUGAGGUUAGAAGAGGAGAUAAUUAAGGUAAUAGAAGUUGCAUGGUCCUCAUACACUGGAAGAAAAAAAAAAAAACACAACUGUCUCCCAAGUCUCCUAAAAUUAAAUAUCAAAGAAGGGAAAGGGUCUAUCAAUAAUUUAAGAGAGAAGUUUCUCUAGAAUAAGGCCGAAUUUUUUUACAGAUGGGUUUCUUUAUAACCAUGGCUUAUGUGGAUUUAAAACACAUGGAGCCCUUACAAUACGUGUCAUACAGGGAGCAAGGAAGCGAGCUCUGAUUUUUGACAUCCAGACGCCCGGCUCAGAAUGCAUUUCUGCAAAAUCAGGGGAGAUCAAUAGACUCAGGACACAAACAUGUUGAUGGAUGACGACGAGUCUGAAAACGACCAGGUUGAGGUGGCCACGCCGCAGGCUUCACUGCUCUUCCCAUGCUCCUAGAACGCAAGGUUGCAAAACGAUUCCCCUUUCUUUUAUCUCAAGAGGGAAGGGGGUAAAAAGGAAAUGAGGGGAAAAAAAAAAAAAAAAAAAAAAAAGAGGUAAGGGAGGGAACAGAAUGGAGCCAGUGAAAGGAAAGGAAGAAAGAAAUGAGAGAGCGAGCCGGAGAGGGGCGGGGGAGUAGGAAGGAAAGCGAUGAUGUCUGGACGCU